rnacentral:rRNA from 1 species
AUGGAUUCUGCAGAAGUAGUACCUUCUCCCGUUGAGGAGUACUUGACGAAAGCAGCUCAAGAGUUUCAGGCUGGUUUGUCCAAUGAGAUCACAGAUGUGCGUGAUCUUCCUAGCUGUAGCCAUGAGCAAGUUGAUGAGGACAUGGACUUUGCAAAAGCAGCACCGGCUACCCCCGUUGAGGAGUACUUGAGGAAAGCAGCACAAGAGUUUAGGGUUGAUUUCGACAAAAGAAAAGAGAAAAUGCAUAGGUUCUCUGCAAGCCUGCACGGUCUCGGAAGCUGCUACACCGUGCCAAGGGUUGUGGCCAUCGGCCCUUACCACCAUGCUCACCCCAGCUCCGUCAGAUGGAGAAGGCCUGUGGCCGUGCAAGUGAAGAAGUUAAUUUCAGCGAUGGGAGGUGGUCUCACAAACCGUUUGUACCAUAAUGGACCAGACGAAAUCCUUUCAGAAUUGGAUGAAGAGUAUGCGCCUCCUCAUCUCCUUGGUCUCCUCAGAUUCUACAAAACAACCAACAAUACGAAAAGACAUAUGCCAACGGCCAAGAAGAAGCCUAGUAAAAGAGUCAGUUCAAUGUCAGCAUCUACAAGUGCCAUCGAGCUUGCAGAAAUCGGCAUCAAGCUGAAAGCCAUCAAGACAGGAAGUUUCACAGAAAUCGGAAUCAGGAAAGGACCCCUCUUUGGCGAGCUUUACCUGACUCCACUGGUGCUAAGCAGCACAAGGGCAUGUUGGCUUGUAAACAUGGCGGCUUUUGAGGUAUGCACGACCUCAGGGGAUCUAUAUAAUGAUGAAGAGACGUCCGUCUGCUCGUACUUCGCCCUCCUUUCGAUGCUCAUGGACCGGGAGGAUGAUGUUCACGAGCUACGAAGGAAGCAUCUUGUGCUAGGAGAACUCACAAACAAAGAGAUGCUUGAGUUUUUCAAGAGCCUUACCAAGCUCCUGUCCAUCGGCCCCUCCUACUUCCGUAUCUUGACACGCAUUGAGAACUACAAAGUCAACAGGUGGAUGUGGAUCAAGGUGCACAAGUUCAUCUACAACAACUUUAAAAUCAUUGUCACGGUCUUCACCGUGGUUGGUGUUCCAGUGGGCAUCUUCAAGACGCUCCUCUCUCUCAAGCAACAAUAG